UGCUUUUGAGGACGGAACGGGCAGCCGUGGCCCCUCGCAAGAGGUUAGGAGAUGUGGGAGUGUCGCCCCACCAAAAAUA
ncrna:unclassified sequences skipping-rope RNA